rnacentral:rRNA from 1 species
AGGGAGAGCUCAAAUUUGAAAGCUGGUACCUUCGGUAUCCGCGUUGUAACCUCGAGACACGUUUUCCGUGCGGCGCUAUGGACAAGUUCCUUGGAACAGGACAUCGUAGAGGGUGAAAAUCCCGUACUUGCCAUGGAUGUACCGUGCUUUGCGAUACGUGCUCUAAGAGUCGAGUUGUUUGGGAUUGCAGCUCAAAAUGGGUGGUAGACUCCAUCUAAAGCUAAAUAUCGGGGAGAGACCGAUAGCGAACAAGUACCGUGAGGGAAAGAUGAAAAGCACUUUGGAAAGAGAGUUAAAAGUACGUGAAAUUGUCGAAAGGGAAGCGCUUGAAGUCAGCCAUGCCGCUCAGGACUCAGCCUGGCUUUUGCUUGGUGUAUUUCCUGGGUAGCAAGUCAGCAUUGGUUUGGAUCGUCGGAGAAGCAUAGUCGGAAUGUGGCGCCCUCGGGCGUGUUAUAGCCUUCUAUUGGAUACGACGAUCUAGACCAAGGAACGCAGCGCGCCUUA